rnacentral:misc_RNA from 1 species
UGAUCGUUAUGUGGACACCAG